rnacentral:rRNA from 1 species
ACGAACGCUGGCGGCGUGCUUAACACAUGCAAGUCGAACGGAAAGGCCCUGCUUUUGUGGGGUGCUCGAGUGGCGAACGGGUGAGUAACACGUGAGUAACCUGCCCUUGACUUUGGGAUAACUUCAGGAAACUGGGGCUAAUACCGGAUAGGAGCUCCUGCUGCAUGGUGGGGGUUGGAAAGUUUCGGCGGUUGGGGAUGGACUCGCGGCUUAUCAGCUUGUUGGUGGGGUAGUGGCUUACCAAGGCUUUGACGGGUAGCCGGCCAGAGAGGGUGACCGGCCAGAUAGGAAGAGAGGAACGGAAAGGGCUGGUGCGGGAGGCAGCGGGGGGGUUUGUAGAGUAGUGGUCGGGAGCCUGAAAGAAAGAGGCCGAGGCCGGGAUAACGAAAUUCGGGGAGUAAACAGAUUUCGAAUGUGACAGACAGUGAGUGACGGUAAAGGAUAAAGAAGCACCGGCUAACUACGUG